rnacentral:lncRNA from 1 species
CUUUUUCUUUUCUUUUUUCUUGAAUCAUUAUCUUUUAUAGUUUACCAUAUCCUUCACGAGACAAUCUAUGUGGGUAGAUAUUUCUUGCUCUAUUCUCAUUCUUUCCCAAAUGGUUUUGCUAAUAAAUGGAUACAUCAGGUAUGGAGUCUGCAUGUUACCAUUUGGGUCUGUAAUAUAAUCACUUGUGAGAUGUUUCUUAAAGUCUCUCCAACGCUUACCAGUAUAUCUAAUCCAUAUUUUCAGCAUAUCAACCUCUAGAAUAAUAAACACUUCCUAUAUUCAAGUAAUAGAGAUGAUAUUAGCAUUAAACAAAAAAACUAAAUGGUCAUCUAUACUUGUAAAAUAAAUUGUAAAAUUUCUAAUAAAGACCAAAAUAUAUGUCCAUAAUUUAUCUUUCAAAUCAUCAUCAACGCCAUGACAAUUAUCUAUCAUAAUAUUGACUUUUCUUCUACCUUAUAAUGACACACAACCCCUAAAAUUACCAGUAUGUUCAUCAUAGGCCUUACCAGUUCUUGGACAAAAAUCAACCAGGAAGCAAACAUC